GCAAGUCGAACGGGAUUUGGGAGCUUGCUUCCAAUGAGAGUGGCGCACGGGUGCGUAACACGUAUGUAACCUACCUUGAUCUGGGGGAUAGCCUCUCGAAAGAGAGAUUAACACCGCAUAACAUUAUUGUAUAGCAUUAUAUAAUAAUCAAAUAUUUAUAGGAUCAAGAUGGGCAUGCGGAACAUUAGCUAGUUGGUAAGGUAACGGCUUACCAAGGCUACGAUGUUUAGGGGAUCUGAGAGGAUGACCCCCCACACUGGUACUGAGACACGGACCAGACUCCUACGGGAGGCAGCAGUAAGGAAUAUUGGUCAAUGGGCGCAAGCCUGAACCAGCCAUGCCGCGUGCAGGAAGACGGCCCUACGGGUUGUAAACUGCUUUUGUACCGGAAUAAACCUUUGUAUGUAUACGAAGCUGAAUGUACGGUAAGAAUAAGGAUCGGCUAACUCCGUGCCAGCAGCCGCGGUAAUACGGAGGAUCCAAGCGUUAUCCGGAUUUAUUGGGUUUAAAGGGUGCGUAGGCGGCCUAUUAAGUCAGGGGUGAAAGACGGUAGCUUAACUAUCGCAGUGCCUUUGAUACUGAUGGGCUUGGAUACACUUGAGGUAGGCGGAAUGUGACAAGUAGCGGUGAAAUGCAUAGAUAUGUCACAGAACACCAAUUGCGAAGGCAGCUUACUAAAGUGUCAUUGACGCUGAGGCACGAAAGCGUGGGGAUCAAACAGGAUUAGAUACCCUGGUAGUCCACGCCCUAAACGAUGAAUACUCGAUGUUGGCGAUAUACGGUCAGCGUCUAAGCGAAAGCGUUAAGUAUUCCACCUGGGGAGUACGCCCGC
rnacentral:rRNA from 1 species